GACGAACGCUGGCGGCGUGCUUAACACAUGCAAGUGGAGCGACGAACCGGGGCUUGCCCCGGGGCAGAGCCGCGAACGGGUGAGUAACACGUGGGUAACCUGCCUCAAUGAUUGGGACAACCCGGGGAAACUCGGGCUAAUACCAAAUGUGUUCACUCCUUCUAAGGGGAGUGAGGAAAGGAAGCUUCGGCCUCCGCAUUGAGAUGGGCCCGCGGCCCAUUAGCUUGUUGGUGAGGUAACGGCUCACCAAGGCUUCGAUGGGUAGCUGGUCUGAGAGGACGAUCAGCCACACUGGGACUGAGACACGGCCCAGACUCCUACGGGAGGCAGCAGUGGGGAAUCUUGCACAAUGCGCGAAAGCGUGAUGCAGCAACGCCGCGU
rnacentral:rRNA from 1 species